GGGGCUGAUACAGCUUUCGACAGAUGGAUCUUAACAACCUGCUCUGCAAGUCGCUUCAACAGACGUAAUCUGUUAUAUAAUUGCAAACUUUAUUGCAAAAGCAAAGACUGGACUAGCGAAAUUAGCUGAUGCUGUUCGCGUUCAGACCCUUGCGCCAGCAUUGGUCUAAUCUCCAAUGCCGUGGUCGUCCAGAUACCUAUUAUGGAUGGACUGCGUCAUAGUAAUAGGUAAACGAUACGAUCCAGUGCUCCAGUGGAUCGUGGCGAGACUGUUCUGUAGCCCAUGCUUUGUUCACGUUCGUUCCGUUUCUUGGAACCGAGCAUGGCUAAAACAACAAAUGGAACUAAGCUUGUAGACGAGUAGGAGGUUACCGUUUGGACGCGGGGGCAGUACCCGCCAGCUCCACCA
rfam:Candidatus Saccharibacteria bacterium RAAC3_TM7_1, complete genome.